CAGGGUAUAGCUCAAGCAGCAGAGCAAAUGCCUAGCAUGCACAAGGUUCUGGGUUCAAUCCCUAGUACCUUUU
rnacentral:tRNA from 1 species